CUGUGGAAAGCAGGGAAAUGAAGAGGGACACGUCACUCGUUGCAAGCUGAAAUGCAGAGGGGGUGGUAAGGGGAAGAAAAGGAGCAGGGAGGCAGAGAUUUGAAAGCUUCAUCACAGAAGGACUGGCCUCAAGAGCAAAGGAAAGAGUUUCCAUCCAAGGAUGUGAGAGAGUUUUCUCUGUUUGUCCAUCUGUGUUCUACCCUGAUAGUACUUUCCAGUGCAACUCUGCAAAAGAGCAGAAGACAUAUUUGAAUCGGCUGGGGACCUGGUUCCUGUUACAGAGGAAUGACCCCGCAGACUUUUUCAGCUAGGAACUUUGUUAGUGAAUAUCCAUUUGCUGUCUACAAUUCCACCUAAGAGAGGGAAGAGUGCUCAUUUUCUGUGUGCCUGAGAGACAGGGGGAAGUCAAGAUCCUACAACAGCCAUCAUGGUGACUCUUUCUCUUUUCCUCCUCUUCAUCCUUUUGCCCUGCAGUAAAUCUCAGGAGGACUUUCUGGACCAGCAUCAGAAAUGGAACUACAGAGAAGGCGCUGACAAGGUCAACAUAGAAGGUGUUUACAGCAUUACUCAAACCCUCGAGAAAUGGGGAAAUGACAUCUUCUGGCAAAUGAAGCAUACCCUGCUGAACAACCCAAAUGCUCUCCUGCCAGAGUUCUCCAGUCUCCGCCCUGUCUCUGCAGCUGUGGACAACCUUGUAAGGGAAGUCCAGUCGAUAAGGAAAAGGCUGGAAGAACUGAACGAACGCCUCAAUGUCAUCAGCAAAACUGUCUUUCCCCUUCGACUGAAUGCUCUGCAGAGCCAGAGGCGUGGCAAUAUUCAGCUCCGGAGACUCCCAACACACAGGAGAAGGUUAUAUGCUCUCAGAAGACCUCAGAGCACUUAAUUCUCUACCAGAAAAAGGGGAAAUCUUUAUUUUUUUUUCAUCUGCUUAAGCCUUUCUCAAUGGGACAUUGCUGGAGAGAAAAAAAAGUAAAGCACACACACAGGUCAGCUUUGCUAAGGAGAUCAGAACUUCUGCAUUUUGUUCCUGCCUUCCAAACCUAGGUCAGGAGGCAAAACCUGACCCUGUUCUUUAAUGAUGGCUGUUUUGUGUCCCAAGCAAAAACAAGUUGACAAGCUCAGUCUACUUGAGCAUGAAUACCUUUAUUCUAUACAGGCAUUCUUUUUGCUUACCAGAGGAAGGUUUUUCUGUAAAUAUCAGGUGAAUUUCUCUCUCUGCCCUAUUUUUAAAGCACUCCAUCUGAAACAGCUGGGGAAUUUGAACUUCAAAAGUGCUGAACAACUGAUGAAUGCAGAAAGAUGGAUUAGUGCUUGGCACUUCCAGCUGGGCAGGGAGAGGGAGAGGAAGUUAUCUUUCAAAAUAUUGCCUUAACCUAUUGUCCACAUUCAUAUGUUCAGAGGGUGAGUAGGGCUGGAUAACCUUGGUCUGUACAUCAUGCUUCAACACUGAAGAUAUAUCAAUUGCUAGGGACCAAAUAUGAACAUACACCUUCUGCAAAGAGUCUUUUUCUAGCUACCUCGAACUGUGCACUCAGAAUGGUUUUAUUCAUAAUUUCCAGCACUCUGAAACAUACUGAACUGAUUUUUGCCAAGACUCGUAGAAACCAGAGGAUUUUUAAAUUUUUUUUUUUCCAAAACUAUUUAGAUACCUAAUGGCAAAGACAGGUGUCUGGAAGGAUUUUCCAAAAUAGCUUAAGAGACUCUUCAGUCCCCAAAAUCACAGAUUCAAUUGGUGUCUAGUUCACAGAGUAUUUUCUCCACAUGCCAGCACUGACCUCCAGACAUUUCCCAACAUCCUUUAGCACAAUUAAUAUCUGUAGAAAAUUAACAACCACACUUUCCAAAGACUUUGGUCCCUCAGGGAUUACCCAGAAUACCCUGCCUUCAGCUUGUCUGCCUGUGUCUUCCUGACAAUAAAGCUGGUGAUAAAAAAAGAGUGCAUAAAUCAAAUUAUGCACUGAAUGGAGGAUAGAGUGGCCUUGCAUUUCAGGUCUCUAAAGAUAAAUCAAAUACAGAGAUUUCCAUUCAGCACUGUAGUCAACUGUGCAUAUGAAAUGUGUUGAAACAUAAGAAAGAGAGUCAGAGAGGAAAAGAAACAGGUUGUCUUUAAGGUCUGGAUGAAGCAAUUUAUGAGGACACAAAUAAAGAAUGGAUUAUGUCUAAA